rnacentral:rRNA from 1 species
GACGAACGCUGGCGGCGUGCUUAACACAUGCGAGUCGAACGGAAAGGCCCUGCUUUUGUGGGGUGCUCGAGUGGCGAACGGGUGAGUAACACGUGAGUAACCUGCCCUUGACUUUGGGAUAACUUCAGGAAACUGGGGCUAAUACCGGAUAGGAGCUCCUGCUGCAUGGUGGGGGUUGGAAAGUUUCGGCGGUUGGGGAUGGACUCGCGGCUUAUCAGCUUGUUGGUGGGGUAGUGGCUUACCAAGGCUUUGACGGGUAGCCGGCCUGAGAGGGUGACCGGCCACAUUGGGACUGAGAUACGGCCCAGACUCCUACGGGAGGCAGCAGUGGGGAAUAUUGCACAAUGGGCGGAAGCCUGAUGCAGCAACGCCGCGUGCGGGAUGACGGCCUUCGGGUUGUAAACCGCUUUCGCCUGUGACGAAGCGUGAGUGACGGUAAUGGGUAAAGAAGCACCGGCUAACUGCGUG